rnacentral:misc_RNA from 1 species
UUGUACACGUUGAUUCUCCUUG